rnacentral:misc_RNA from 1 species
AGCGGCCACACAGAGAUUUAUCUGAUACUGUAAAACGGUAUCGCCACAAGAAGCAAUUUCAAGAACACAGUCAACAAGAUUUCUUGUUUCUUGGAAAAUAAAAGUGUUCUGCUAAAACCCUAAUUCAGAGAGAUUAUAGUCUUUUACAAGAAAGGCAUCAUGGGGAAGAAACAACACAGUAAAGAUCGAAUGUUUAUAACCAAGACAGAAUGGGCAACUGAAUGGGGUGGCGCUAAAUCGAAAGAACUUAAAACCCCUUUUAAACGGCUUCCCUUCUAUUGCUGCGCUCUUACA